AGCGAACGCUGGCGGCAGGCCUAACACAUGCAAGUCGAACGAACUCUUCGGAGUUAGUGGCGGACGGGUGAGUAACACGUGGGGACGUGCCUUUAGGUUCGGAAUAACUCAGGGAAACUUGUGCUAAUACCGAAUGUGCCCUUCGGGGGAAAGAUUUAUCGCCUUUAGAGCGGCCCGCGUCUGAUUAGCUUGUUGGUGAG
rnacentral:rRNA from 1 species